UGAUGUUAGCGGCGGACGGGUGAGUAACACGUGGGUAACCUGCCUGUAAGACUGGGAUAACUCCGGGAAACCGGGGCUAAUACCGGAUGCUURUUUGAACCGCAUGGUUCAAAYAUAAAAGGUGGCUUCGGCUACCACUUACAGAUGGACCCGCGGCGCAUUAGCUAGUUGGUGAGGUAACGGCUCACCAAGGCAACGAUGCGUAGCCGACCUGAGAGGGUGAUCGGCCACACUGGGACUGAGACACGGCCCAGACUCCUACGGGAGGCAGCAGUAGGGAAUCUUCCGCAAUGGACGAAAGUCUGACGGAGCAACGCCGCGUGAGUGAUGAAGGUUUUCGGAUCGUAAAGCUCUGUUGUUAGGGAAGAACAAGUACCGUUCGAAUAGGGCGGUACCUUGACGGUACCUAACCAGAAAGCCACGGCUAACUACGUGCCAGCAGCCGCGGUAAUACGUAGGUGGCAAGCGUUGUCCGGAAUUAUUGGGCGUAAAGGGCUCGCAGGCGGUUUCUUAAGUCUGAUGUGAAAGCCCCCGGCUCAACCGGGGAGGGUCAUUGGAAACUGGGGAACUUGAGUGCAGAAGAGGAGAGUGGAAUUCCACGUGUAGCGGUGAAAUGCGUAGAGAUGUGGAGGAACACCAGUGGCGAAGGCGACUCUCUGGUCUGUAACUGACGCUGAGGAGCG
rnacentral:rRNA from 2 species